rnacentral:tRNA from 1 species
GGGGAGAUUCCCGAGUGGCCAAAGGGGACAGACUGUAAAUCUGUUGGCGUAGUCCUUCGGAGGUUCGAAUCCUCCUCUCCCCACCA